rnacentral:rRNA from 1 species
UGGGGAAUAUUGGGCAAUGGGCGAAAGCCUGACCCAGCAACGCCGCGUGAAGGAAGAAGGCUUUCGGGUUGUAAACUUCUUUUCUCAGGGACGAAGCAAGUGACGGUACCUGAGGAAUAAGCCACGGCUAACUACGUGCCAGCAGCCGCGGUAAUACGUAGGUGGCAAGCGUUAUCCGGAUUUACUGGGUGUAAAGGGCGUGUAGGCGGGACUGCAAGUCAGAUGUGAAAAACCAUGGGCUCAACCUGUGGCCUGCAUUUGAAAACUGUAGUUCUUGAGUACUGGAGAGGCAGACGGAAUUCCUAGUGUAGCGGUGAAAAUGCGUAGAUAUUAGGAGGAACACCAGUGGCGAAGGCGGUCUGCUGGACAGCAACUGACGCUGAGGCGCGAAAAGCGUGGGGAGCGAAACAAGGAAUUAGAAUACC